UGCAGAGGUCUCAAGCGUUGUUCGGAUUCAUUGGGCGUAAAGGGUGCGUAGGCGGCGCGGUAAGUCGGGUGUGAAAUCUUGGAGCUUAACUCCGAAACUGCAUUCGAUACUGCCGUGCUUGAGGACUGGAGAGGAGACUGGAAUUUACGGUGUAGCGGUGAAAUGCGUAGAUAUCGUAAGGAAGACCAGUGGCGAAGGCGGGUCUCUGGACAGUUCCUGACGCUGAGGCACGAAGGCCAGGGGAGCAAACGGG
rnacentral:rRNA from 1 species